rnacentral:miRNA from 1 species
UAAGUGCUUCCAUGUUUUAG